GUCAAGUACGGGCCAGCAGGGGGGGUAAGAAGGGGGGGGCGAGCGUGAAUGGGAAUUACUGGGCGUAAAGCGCACGCAGGCGGGUGGAUAAGUUAGAUGUGACAGCCCCGGGCUCAACCUGGGAAGUGCAUUUAAAACUGUCCAGCUAGAGUCUUGUAGAGGGGGGUAGAAUUCCAGGUGUAGCGGUGAAAUGCGUAGAGAUCUGGAGGAAUACCGGUGGCGAAGGCGGCCCCCUGGACAAAGACUGACGCUCAGGUGCGAAAGCGUGGGGAGCAAACAGGAUUAGAUACCCUGGUAGUC
rnacentral:rRNA from 1 species